GCAGUUAGUGUCUUAGGGUGGGUUACUUGUAUUGACUGCGCGACGGGUGUGAUAAAUUAAUCGUCAAACUGUAUAUCUGUGACAUGGGCCCGUAGUCUUUGAUUUAGCCCCGAGGCGAUGAGGUCUCGGGGCAGCCUACAUCCUAUUUACUUUAUAGCGGCGCUAGGGCCGAGGUUACCCGCGCGUGGGGAGUGUGUUAUGACUCUUUCAUUAGGGGGGUUGGAUUAGGGCGGUAGCCUGUGUGGUUAAAUAGGCUUAGUCCUAUUAAUCGUUCAAUAAGUAAUUAUAAUAGCUGCAUUUUAUCUCGAAGAUACCCCGACUGUUUAUUAAAAACAUUUCCCCGCGUCUUGACUGCGGGGUAGGGCCUGCCCGGUGCAUUAGUAAACGGCCGCAGUAUUAUGACUGUGCGAAGGUAGCAUAAUUAAUUGCCUCAUAAUUGGGGGCUUGUUUGAAUGGUCUAACGGGGGUAGUUUUAAAUUGUGGUUUUUAUUGAAUUUGGCGGCACGAGUGCGGAUCCUGUGCGUGCGAGUAAGACGGAAAGACCCCGGGAUCUUUUGUUUUUGUCUGGGGCGGAUCACAUUAGUUCAAUGGGUUUUAGACCCGCAGUCUAGAGGGUUAAGUUACCCCGGGGAUAACAGGGUAAUGGCCCAGUAGAGAUCUUAUCGAUUGGGCUGUUUGCUACCUCGAUGUUGACUUGGGU
rnacentral:rRNA from 1 species